rnacentral:rRNA from 1 species
CAGCCGCCGCGGUAAUACGUAGGGUGCAAGCGUUAAUCGGAAUUACUGGGCGUAAAGCGUGCGCAGGCGGUUCGGAAAGAAAGAUGUGAAAUCCCAGAGCUUAACUUUGGAACUGCAUUUUUAACUACCGGGCUAGAGUGUGUCAGAGGGAGGUGGAAUUCCGCGUGUAGCAGUGAAAUGCGUAGAUAUGCGGAGGAACACCGAUGGCGAAGGCAGCCUCCUGGGAUAACACUGACGCUCAUGCACGAAAGCGUGGGGAGCAAACAGGAUUAGAUACCCUGGUAGUCCACGCCCUAAACGAUGUCAACUAGCUGUUGGGGCCUUCGGGCCUUGGUAGCGCAGCUAACGCGUGAAGUUGACCGCCUGGGGAGUACGGUCGCAAGAUUGAAACUUAAAGGAAUUGGCGGG